CAGUCGCCGCGGUAAUACGAAGGGUGCAAGCGUUACUCGGAAUUACUGGGCGUAAAGCGUGCGUAGGUGGUGGUUUAAGUCCGUUGUGAAAGCCCUGGGCUCAACCUGGGAAUUGCAGUGGAUACUGGGUCACUAGAGUGUGGUAGAGGAUAGUGGAAUUUCCGGUGUAGCAGUGAAAUGCGUAGAGAUCGGAAGGAACAUCUGUGGCGAAGGCGACUAUCUGGGCCAACACUGACACUGAGGCACGAAAGCGUGGGGAGCAAACAGGAUUAGAUACCCGGGUAGUCCCUGUCUCUUAUAA
rnacentral:rRNA from 1 species